AUUGAACGCUGGCGGCAGGCCUAACACAUGCAAGUCGAGCGGAUGAAGGGAGCUUGCUCCUGGAUUCAGCGGCGGACGGGUGAGCAAUGCCUAGGAAUCUGCCUGGUAGUGGGGGAUAACAUCCGGAAACGGGCGCUAAUACCGCAUACGUCCUGAGGGAGAAAGUGGGGGAUCUUCGGACCUCACGCUAUCAGAUGAGCCUAGGUCGGAUUAGCUAGUUGGUGGGGUAAAGGCCUACCAAGGCGACGAUCCGUAACUGGUCUGAGAGGAUGAUCAGUCACACUGGAACUGAGACACGGUCCAGACUCCUACGGGAGGCAGCAGUGGGGAAUAUUGGACAAUGGGCGAAAGCCUGAUCCAGCCAUGCCGCGUGUGUGAAGAAGGUCUUCGGAUUGUAAAGCACUUUAAGUUGGGAGGAAGGGCAGUAAGUUAAUACCUUGCUGUUUUGACGUUACCAACAGAAUAAGCACCGGCUAACUUCGUG
rnacentral:rRNA from 1 species